rnacentral:rRNA from 1 species
AGAACGAACGCUGGCGGCAUGCCUAACACAUGCAAGUCGAACGCUCUUGGUUUCGGCCAAGGGAGUGGCGCACGGGUGAGUAACGCGUGGGAACCUGCCCUGGAGUGGGGGAUAACCGAGGGAAACCUCGGCUAAUACCGCAUACGACCUGAGGGUGAAAGAUUUAUCGCUCUAGGAGGGGCCCGCGUCGGAUUAGCUAGUUGGUGAGGUAACGGCCCACCAAGGCUAUGAUCCGUAGCUGGUCUGAGAGGAUGAUCAGCCACACUGGGACUGAGACACGGCCCAGACUCCUACGGGAGGCAGCAGUGGGGAAUAUUGGACAAUGGGCGCAAGCCUGAUCCAGCAAUGCCGCGUGAGUGAUGAAGGCCUUAGGGUUGUAAAGCUCUUUCACACGCGACGAUGAUGACGGUAGCGUGAGAAGAGCCCCGGCUAACUUCGUGCCAGCAGCCG